AUUGAACGCUGGCGGCGUGCCUAAUACAUGCAAGUCGAACGGAGUGGCGCACGGGUGAGUAAUGUAUAGCUAAUCUGCCCUACACUAGAGGACAACAGUUGGAAACGACUGCUAAUACUCUAUAGUGUAGGUUGAGGCUAUAUUGUAUCAGUUGGUUGGUGAGGUAAUGGCUCACCAAGGCUAUGACGCAUAACUGGUCUGAGAGGACGAUCAGUUACACUGGGACUGAGACACCGUGCCGACUCCUGCGGGAGGAAUCAGUAGGGAAGAAUGCUCCAUGAAGGAAACCCUGAGGCAGCAACGCCGCGUGGAGGAUGACACUUGUCGGAGAGUAAACUCCUUUUGUUAGGGAGGCGGUACCUGACGAAGAAGCACCGGCUAACUCCGUGCCAGCAGCCGCGGUAAUAC
rnacentral:rRNA from 1 species